GCAGAGCUUCAUGUUGCUCAUUUAAAUAACGGCUUGCAUGUGGAUUGGUGCAAUCACUAUACAUCACAUUUUCGUAAUGUACCUAUAAUAAUAUUACAGGUUACUCAGUAACACAGUGAGAAGAGAAGCUACAGCUCAUCUAGUCAUGCUGCCUAUAAACUCAGUCGCCACCAUUAAUUGAUAGAAGAUGUUUGUCAUAGCACCCUCCACACUGCAGGUAAUGUCUAGAGCAGCAGGUGACAGGUGGCAACUACACGAUGAUGGAAGCUGAGCGUCAUGUACGCGCAAUAUGACGCCGCUAACAACAGGGCGUAGCGUACUACGGCGUAGCACCGGUGGGCGCUACGUGCUACGAGCUACGAGCAGUCAAAUGUUUAGUGAAGUCGACAGAUGGCGACGACGCCGCAGUCGGGUGACGGUGCGAGCCUUCAUUCAAGAUCCACAUCGAGACUGAAAGUCGUCGGCGUCGGUUGAGUAACGGGUGUCGAAUGGCGGUCACUGAGAGCCGCCAGAUCCUGGGAUCCUGGCUGCCCGCGAUAUCACGUCAUAACGCGCCCAACUUUACGUCCAGCGCCCCGGAGCAGCAACACUGCGAUACGCGGGUGUCUGACAAAAAGGCGACAGCGCGGUCUCGGCGGAGGCAGCCCUGUCAUUACGGAGGAUUCCCACAGUGCGUAACAAGCGCGCGCCCGCGCCGCCC